GCCAGCUGAGGGGAAGGAGUUGACAACUAUUCCCAGGCUUUCUCCUGCAAGCAUUAGAGCUGGAAGUUCAGAUUUGCUGCUGAGUUUUAUGGGCUGUCAAACGAGGCACAAGCCCAAGCUUCUGCCCAGAGUAAACCCGGGACCCAAGCUUGUUCUUUCAAAAACAAUAAACCUGUUUCUCCCAGCAGAGAAGCUCACUUGAAAUCACAAGGCCAGCCAAACUUGAAGAGCUCCCUAACCCCGCCCCCCCCGACCCCUGCACACAUGCUGGUCUCCUGUACCCCUGAUUGAGACUUUGGGACCUUCCUGUACCCUCAGGCCAAAGAGGAGUCAGGUGUCUCCCCGCCACCAGCAUACCUGCCACUGGCACUACCCAUCCACCAUUUCCUUCCUGAAAGCUCAAAGUCAUCUGGUGGUGGACACAAAGCUUUAACUUCCUCGCCUCACAUCAUGUUAGUAAUCCAGCCGCCUGCUCUCCAACAGAACUCAGCUUCCAUCUGCCGGCCUGCUCUUAGCCCGGUCCUCACCCCUACACCCCUGCACUACUCUGCCAUGUUUAUUUCUCUGCUCUGGUUCCUACUGUCCCCUCGCCAGGAAAACUCUCCUAUUUCUCCUCAUCACCAUAAACUGAACUUCCUUUGAGGCCCAGUUAAAAUUGACCAUUUGCACAAGACUUCAUCUUACGGCCCCAAGACACACCAGUCAUUCCUGCCAAAGAACAUUCCCUCACAGGAGGGGCCAGGUAGGGAUGAGAGGCGAGGCAGAAGCCCUGAGAUGCUUGAGCCACAGAGAGUUCUGGUGUAAGACCAGGUCUCCAAGUGCAAGGUGGGCCUAGAAACCAGGCCACGCUCAAACACCCUGACCGAGAGCCAAGCUGCCGGUGCUGUGGAAGGGUGAGCCCACAGCAGGGCCCCGUGCAGGCCGGUAGCACGUCUGAAAGCCGCGAUGGUCGUGGAGAGCGGCACUCAGGGAGAGAGUGGAACACUGUGUGCAAGGAGAUGUGUACCAGGAUAUACAUUAUAAAUCACGUUGUAGCAUUAUUUCGAAAAGGAAAAAUUGGGCCAUAAUCUUAAUGCCCAGCAAAAAGAGAACAGAUAAAUCAAUAGUAGUGUAGUCAGUCUUGUCUCAACACAGAUAAACCUCAGAAACAGAACAGUGAAUGAAGAACAAGCAGAGGAUACAGUAUGAUGCCACCUAUAAUAAAGCUUGAAAGCUUGCAAAACCAUAUCAUAUAUUGUAUGUGGAAACCUACAUGUAUACUAACAGGCCUGGGGAAACACGCAUGGGAAAGAUCAAUACCAAUUUCAAGAGAGUGGGGAGGGAAAUGGCACAGGGGAGGGUUGACAAGGUUUUAGUCUUUUAAAAAAUUAGCUGAAGCAAAGAUGGGGAAAUAGGGCAUUUGUGUGUUUGGACAACAUUCUCCAGACUCUUCUGUAUGCUUGGAAUAUUUUAUCAUUUUUUAAAGGAAGACGGGACUGCUCCAGGAGCAACCUCAUGCUUCUGCUGGUUUAGACUCGGGGGCUCAGUCAGCCACGGGCAAGGACGUCAAGGGUAUGACAAGAAAUGCACAUCACUCCUCUCGGAGCUCUAGUAGCUUUUCAAAUAUGUGCUUCAUCCCAUAUGCCCAUGUCCUUUUCUCGAGUUUUCCCAUACAGAUGGCGGGUCCCCUGAAGUCCCAGACUGCCUGCCCUUGAAGCCCCACAGCCCCUAGCAGUGAGCUGGGCGUGGAACUGGACCUCAAUAAAUGUUUUUUGAUCUGAUUUCUUACAUCAUUUUUGCCAUGAAUGAGACUCUUUCCAGCCUCCUUGUGUAUGUUCCAAUUUGGCAUGAAGCACCCUGUCCAUGUGGCUCUUCCUCCAGGGCUGCUGGGCCCACCCAGGACCUCACACACAGCCUCUCAGACUUGCCCGUGACCGCUUCCCACAAGGUCUCAGAAGCUGUGGUCUGCAGUCUAGAAAAUAUUGAGGAG
ensembl:lncRNA